UGGUGAAAUUAGUAGGAAUAAGUCAUUAUCAACUAUUAUGUCAAAUUGUGUGCAGAAAUUGACAUUUGAACAUCCACUGCAUUUUUUCCCACUUGUCAAUUUGUUAGAUUUGGCAAUCUUCACCUUCACACUUACCACAAUACCUUAGUAACAAGGUUCAAGGUUUUUAUAUAGAUAUCUAAUGCCAUCUUCAUGGUAGCCAGGAAACCUCUUAUAUACCAAUUUUAAGUUGUGAAGGCCACCUUUCAAUGUGGAGGCAUUGUGUUUCCUAAUUCACAGUUAUUUGGAACUUUGAAAUGCGCCUUUCUGUGUUCAGCAUCUUGCAGCAGCGAGAGGCUAUGAAGAUAUUGUGUUUUUUCUUGUUCAAGAGGGAGUAGAUGUCAAUACGAAAGGUUUGUUUCCUCAUUAAUGUGGACUGGCUCUUCUGUAUUUUGUACCUUUUUCACACCAACAUUGCAAAGAUGAUUUCAUUGUAGAUAAUUUUGGGAACACGGCCCUUCUAGAAGCUAUCAAGAAUGGAAAUGAUCGAAUUGCCUCAUUACUUGUUAAAGAAGGCGCAUCUCUAAGGAUAGAUGAUGCUGGUAGUUUUCUUUGUGCAGCCGUGGCAAGGGGUGAUUCUGAUUUUCUUAAAAGAAUUUUGGCUAAUGGCAUAGAUCCUAACUCUAAAGAUUAUGACCACCGAACCCCACUUCAUGUAGCUGCCUCAGAAGGGCUAUAUCUGAUGGCAAAGCUGCUUCUAGAAGCAGGGGCUAGUGUUUUCUUGAAGGACAGGUAUAUUCAGACUUUCAGUGUCCAUGUUCCUUGCAUUGAAUGAUCGGAUGCUUCAAACAUCUCAUAGAACUAAUCUAGCAUUUUUUUGGGAUCUCACAAGUGCAAUUAUCAACUCUUUUGUUCAUGCAGAUGGGGAAACACACCGCUUGACGAAUGUCGAAAAUGUGGAAACAAAAAUUUGAUUAAGCUGCUGGAAGCUGCAAAAUCCUCUGAAAUGUUAGAGUUUCAGGACAGCUUUCGGGAAACCACAGGUACCUGCAAAACUUAUCAGCAGUUGCUAGGAUGUGUGUAAGAUCCUAGGAAAGAAAUGAAGAAAUUUCAUAUAGACAUGAUUAGUGGGAAGCAAUCAAUUGGAUUUAGAGAUGUCCGCAAUGGUUACCUUCAUUGUGCUUAUAAUGCGCAGUCUGAGUUCAUUACCUUGCCCGGUUCUUACUGUUACCUGAUUGAGCUUUAGACUGACGUGAACUCUUCACCUGUCCAUCCUUUACAGAUAAGUUGCAUUCAAGAAAAUGUACAGUUUAUCCUUUUCAUCCGUGGGAUCCUCAGGAGCAUAGAAGACAUGGGGUUGUGUUGUGGGUCCCUGACAAUAUCGAGGAGCUCAAAAGAAAUGCAUCGGAGCAGUUAAAUGUUCCGUCCGCCAAUUGUGUAUUAUCUGAAGAUGCAGGUAAAGUUCUUGAUACGGACAUGAUAAGUGAGGGCGAGAAGCUGUAUUUGAUUACCGAAACGCAGGAAUAAUUUUCACCAGCUAUUAUGUUGAGAAACUAUAAACGUUGUCGUAAUUAUUAUUUUGCAUCAUUCGCAUGUGUUUGGGCGCACUCUUCGUGAGUUUCUUGAUGUUUGGCCGAGGGAUUGAGUGAUCAGGUGAUCUAUAUUCCAAUUUUGGUCACAACUCAUGCGGUUCUCUCCUCUCUGGGUUUGAUCCGGAAGACGUACUUCCACAAGCGUUAGCAUGUGACUUAAAGUCCCUGGAAUCAUACCAAAACUGUAGCAUGCUGUACGUUGAUGUACAUUCAUCCCAAUGUAUCACGGUUUCGGCAAAACACAUUUAGAGUGUUUAAAAUGUGCAUAGAUGGUGUGAUUCAGUCUCAAAACUUCCCAGUUGAAUGAAUUAUAUCGUCCCUUAACUUUUUAAAGAGAUGCAAUCAACAUAUUUUGGUUGAUUAAGUUGGCUUUUUUGGUUAGAAAUUGCUUGGCAAGUAUUCUUAUGCAAUGAAAUGGACGAUGAAACUUGUCUCGAUGACUUAUACUUAGUAGGGUUGAUUGGAAAAGAAAAGAAGAGAAACAACUUGCAUAUUUUGUCUGACCCUUUUAUUUCUUUUGUGGUUGCAUGGUAGGUUAGAUGUACAUUCUUAACAGAUGCCAUCCUAAAUUUAUUUAUGGACAGAGCGAGACUUGGCUUGCGUUCGUAUACGUUGGCUCGGUUAGAUGCUUCUUGAGAAUAGACACCUUCUCACAAGUCACAACGAACGAAAGCCAGUCAUACUCGCAUCCCGCGGGCUUCGAACGAAGACACCAAUUUGCUUGCACCUUCCAUUUAUUCCAUCUUUUUUUCUUUUUUUUUCCCUCCAGAAAGUUAAGACUUUUUUAAAAUUCAAAGAGUCAGGUGACUGUCUGGAAGCAUAAAGAUGCCUCCUGCAUGGUUAAAUCAGGUCUCUUAUAUUUGUAAAUCUGAAAACUGAAAAUAACCAGAUAGAAGCAGGUGCGGCAGAUAACUUCUUUCAAGGUAAAGAGUCCAGUAAACGCGUCGGCAGGUAACCACAUUCAUGGUCCACAGGUAGAUCAAAACAUGCUGCAAUUGCACUAUGAACGUGCCUGUGAAAGAAUUCCAAGAGACGAAGAGUCUAAACAAAAACAACGGGAUGCAAAUGCCAACAGAAGAGGGUAGCAUAUUACAGCAUCAGGAGGUUAUUAUUAGCAAAGAACCGCAACUUCUAAUAUUAAAGAACAAUUGAUCCAAAAUAAAAUGGAAAUUUGAAAAUAAGGACUAAACUAGUAUCUCUAGCACAAAUCAAAUCUCUAAAACCAAGAGUAUUUCCAUUUCAACUCGAAUGCAAGAACUAAAUAUGAAUCACCACUUCGAGUUUAGUUUCCAAAAUUCUCCAAAAGAAUGAAUAAAUGAAACCCUAACGUUGAUCGAGAUACUAAAAUAUUUCCACUCGAAUUCCAGAACCUUAUAUGAAUCUCCACAUCAAGUUCAAUUUUCUAAAUUCUCACAAAAAUAAAUGAAUGAAACCCUCAUGUAAAUCACAAUACUAAAAUAUUUUCCACUCGAAUGCCAAAAUCAAAUAUGAAUCUCCAUUUGAAUAACAAAACCAAAUAUGAAUCUCCAUAUCGAGUUCAGUCGCCACGUUGUGAAGACCCUCUCAAACUUUUUCAAAAUGGACGGAGAAAAGGAAUUAGCAUAGAGUGCAUUGCCUAAAAAGCGGGCCUACAACCCUCAAUCAGGUGUGAAGUGUGAUUUUAGUUCAAUUUACCUAAGGGAUUUUUAGGAGUUACCAUUAACCUUUUCAGGGUCAGUUAGAAAUCAAACAAAACACAGGAGUUUUGUCUCAUUUUCUAUGCAAUCACAAAUUUACUAUGUAUGUUAUGUACUUGAUUACACGAAUUGUCUAAUUAUUGCCCUUUUGGUACCUAUAACUUAGUGGGAUUGUUUAUCUAAGUGAUUACGUGACCUUUUCAUCAUUUAUGAUCCUAAAGGUCUUUAGAUUGUUACAUGUUCAUGCAAAUGGGGGUUCAUUAUGUUAGGCUGUCUCAAUCGUUCUCGAAAGGAAAAGAAAUAAAUUAUUUAUUUAAAGAGCAGGAAUGCGACACUCAAGUAUUAAAAGCUCAAAGUAAAAGUGCUGGAAUGAAAAUUUGAUCCUAAUUGGGUAAAGCAUAUUACGCCUCUUUGUUCUAAGCCUUAGGAAAUGAAAACCCCAUGAGCUUAAUCUGAUACUAUGUUGGAUAAAAAAUAUACGUUGCCUUAAGCCCUGGAACAUGAAACCCCAUAAGUUUGAAAUUAGAGGCUAGUCUGGAUCCUAAUAAUUGAGCUACAUGAAGGCGAGCCUAAAUUCUACAAAAUUUUAUUCAAGUGGUACACGAAUCUAGUCUGAGAUACCCGUUAUUAGGAAAAUGAUCUUAGGCCCAAUUGGUUUUUAUUGGCUAAACUAGACUAAAGUCUAAACUAGUUUGGUUAUUAAAACCUAAGUCAAUUGGUCUAACUAGACUAAUUAGCCCUAAACUAGCCUAACAUUCCCUGGACUGCCACCAUGAAUUGCCCCCUCAAGGCUCUCACCCGCCGCCCUCGUGCCUCCAGCCACCGACAGCCGAUUUCGGUUCCAUCCAUGUAAUCACUCAAAUCAAUGAUCAAUGGGUUCAUAAAAGUUAAUUAACAAAGAAAAAAAAAACACCAAUUUGAUUUGGGAAUUUUGUGUCGAUCAUGCAACUCGAUCACCCCUCCACGUCAUAGGAUUAAGGAUUAAUUAAUUAAUGAUAAAUAAUGAUUAACCCUCACUUGCAUUUCAUCAAGCAAUAAGAUAAGGGUGCGUUUGGUAAUAUUUCUAUUAAAAAAUUGUUCUAGGGAACAGAAAUAAAAGAAAAAAUUAUUCUUAUUCCAAUGAACAAUUUUUAAACAGAAGAACGCAUUUGGUAACUAUACAAAAUUGUUGUUCCUAAAACAAAAAAAUAACAAAAAUACGUUUGAUAAACUUGUAUAAUUUUUUUUGUUUCUUUAAUUUUUUUAAUUUUUUUCUUUUUUCUUUUUUCUUCCUUUUGGCCGAUCGUCGACCUCGGCCAUGGUCGGCAACUGAUUGAUGAGAGAUGAUGACUUCGCCUUGGCUAGGCAAGCUCCAGCCGACGCGAGGCCGAGCUCGCCUAGCCACCAAUGAGGCUCGGCCUCGGCGGGCCACCACCAGGUAGGGGUCGGCCUCGCCUUAGCUGGGUGAGCUGGGCCUCGCCGGGGGCCGGCGAGGUUACUAGCUCUCGACGGCUGAUCACCAGCCAUGGCCGAAGCCAGCAACCAUCCAAAGAAAAAAGAAGAAGAAAAGAAAGAGGAGGAAAAAUAGGAUAGAAGAAAAUUGUUUCUCGGAAGUGUUCCUAGGAAUAAGAAACAAGUUUUUUUCUUAUUUCUUGUUUCUAUUCCCGAAAACAAAAAUGUAAACAAACGCAAUUCUAUUCUUUUUUUAUUUCCCGUAACAAAAGAAUAGAAAUUAUGUUCUGGAGAACAAAAAAAGAACACAAACAAACAUGCCCUAAAUCACCAUCACCAAAUUAAGCUUUGAUCCCCUUUUCUAAACUACUACGGAUGAAUUAGGCAACGUCAAUUGCAAUUUAGCCUAAUAUGCAUCUAAUCAAACACACACCAAGUCAAUUCAGUAUCUAGUUAGGCCAAUUAGCCUUAGAAUCCACAAAAACAAUUAGUGAUCCAAGAGGGUUUCUUCUCUGUUUUUCCCCUAUUUUUGUUUGAUUAUAUUUUAAUCAAUUGACUAACCUGAUGAAAUCCAAAUUGAAUUAUUUCAGCGGCUAAUGAAAGCAAGCCUACUUCAAUCUUGAUUGAGGCCAUUUAGUGAAGUCAUUUUCCCAAACUACGAAUAGAUUGGGGUUAAUUAAUCGAUCUUAGCCGCUCUCUGAAUCCAUUCGAACCCUAUUUUUGAAAAGUACUAUAAAAAUAGCAAACAAGGUCCAAUUGUCGCGAAAUUUAAGGGACAGCUAGCCCUGCACGUGCUCUUUAACUUUUAUUUUUAACUUUUUGUAAACAAGCCCUCCAAGAACUAGCAAAUCAGAUUAAAAUCAGAACAAUUUUUUGGCCAAAUCUGACCUGAUCAGAAAUUAAUUAAUUGGCCGCCCAAAAAUCAUUCAAAAUUUUAUGAAAUUUUCCAGAUUCAUAGUUCAAGACCUCCUUUACAACUUUCGUUCGUUAAGAUUAUCCAGGAAGGACCUCCAACUAUUUUAAAACUCCGAAUUAUAUUUAAUUGACAAGGCAAUAAAAAUUUCAGAUAAAACAUUAAUUUUUUCGUCUUUUUUUAACAAGUUUCAGACAAACCAAACGAAUUCGAAUUUUAUGAUCUUCAUAUCAUUGGAAAACUUAUGAUCUAAACUAUAAAUAACCUGAUGACAACCUUUUCUAAUAGAUUUUUUUUUUUAAAUUGAUGAAUAUGUCAAUCAGACUACGAUUUUUUUUUCCAAAUUUAAUUCACAUCUUCAACUACAUUCAAACUCUCCAACUAAUUUAUGUUAAUUAUCCGGAUUAUGAACAUCUUCAAACUACGGACAUUCGACAUAACAUUCAACUAUUCCACAUCAAAUAAAACCUAUAUCAUUUAUCUUCUCAUGAAAAUCUUAAGGGUUUAUCAUCAAGAUGCAAUUCAAUUAUUCAUAAUCAUCAUCCAUCUAACAUAUACCAAUCCUAUAUAGCACUAGUUAACAUCAAAUUAUAUCGAGAUACAUGCUAGAGAAGGAUCGGCCAGCGUGAGAAACAAUGAAUUGAUCAUUAGAUAAAAUUGAACUAUACUAGAGCUAAUGCUUGAGAAUAUAUAUCCUAAUCAUAUAAUAUUAAGCUCGAUUGGCAUGCUAGCAUUAAAAUCAAUAUCAAAACUCAUCUAGAGAGGCUAAGCUAAGUGUAAAUUGAAAUCCUAGGCUUCUCUAAACAUGUAAUUGAUACAUAAUUUUUGGCAAUCAAUCUUAUGUUUUGAUCAAUUUCAUUCCGAUUAUGUCUAAUUCCAUCACAUCAUAUCUUAGAAUCAAAAUUGAAGAAUUUUCUUCAAUUUCGAACUAUAUUCAUCCUUAUAUCAUCAAAUGAUUAUGUGAGUGAAACAAAUCAUCAAAAUUUUGCUACUGGAACCAACAUUGGAUGAUUAUUGGCAAGUCACUUAAAAAACAAUUGAAUUUGAUAAACUCGGGCAGCAAUUGAGUAUAAUUCCGGCCACAAUCACGCAUGGGACAUCUUAAGAAUGGUUGGCAUUCAACUAGUCUGGCGGAAGGAGGCUGAGAUAGUUUGUCUCACCAUUGAUCAUUGUCAAUGAGGGCCCAUAUAAGUCUUGUGCCAUAAUCGAGUGCAAUAUUAGCAUAGGUUACAUCAACAUCAACAUGUUGGAAAUUUUGAUUUAAUGGAACACCCCCACGAAAAAUUUAGACUCAUUCAAGAUUUUUAAAAAGGUCCUAAUUUUGUUGAAUUCAAAAUAUUAAGUCACAGGCUUUCUGUAUGUGAAAAUUUUUUUGUCAAUGAAACGUCACACAAAAAACUUAUACUUGAUCAAAAUUUGACUAAAUUCGUCUUCUGUUUUCUUCAAUCCUUUGUUGGUUGAAAGCUCAAGUAUCUUUGUUUCGAUCAAGAUAGGGGUGUAGUUUGGUUUCUUAGCUUGUUUUGAAAUUCUUCACAUUUCUAGUGAAGGAGCUCAGGUUAAUUAGCACAAAUUCCAAAUGCCCACAUGCUAUCAACAUCAAAGUACCUCAGUUAAGGUUCAUCCCGGUGAAAACAGAUACAGAGUUGCUUGCCAUUCAGGUUAGUCUCUUGUUGUUUUUAUUUUUAAAUUUAAAGAUAUAGCAUUAAAAAAUGAAGCUCAGUGUAUCUUUUACUCUCUUACAGUCAAAUAGUUAUAAUGUGGAUGGUGCUCUUGUUAUUGAAGAAAGGGCUAGAACAAAUCCAGAGCAUGAGCAAGUUAAGAUUUACUUGCAUGAUAUUGCCAUGCCUUUUUUGGGGAUAAUGAUGGAGUUAUUCUGAUGUCACUAGGUUGGCAAUUGUAGGAGGGAGCCAAUUUAAUUUCUAAUAGUAUGGAGGUUUUUGGUGGUCUAUCCUUUGCCUCACUCAUUACUCUUAAGGUAAUUAUCUUUAUGGUUUGUCGUAUGCCUAUCCACUUAUGUCAACAUGAUUUGCUUGAUUUGCCUCCACCAAAUAAUAAUAAUAAUAAUAAUAAUAAUAAUAAUAUUUCUUGAUUCAAGUAGGGAUACAAGACCAAGUUAAAGUGGAAAUUUUAAAUGAGGCGAUGCUGCAAAAUAAGCUAGAAUGGACUCUAUGUCCUUUAUUUGUGAGGUUGUCACUAUAUUUCUUUUAAGAGUGAAGUUUCUAGUUGUGGUGGAAAUUCGUGAUGCUACUCAAUCUGAUUUUAUAUAGUGACUUCAUUCAAACUAACAGAAUUUUGUGGCGCUCCAUACAAGUAUAGUUGAAUGUGUUCAAAUUACUCCUCAUAAUACAUUUUGAAUUGCUAAGCAAAAUUCACCUUGAGAAACCUGUUAUCUUCAACUAAUAGAGAUGAAAGUGAAUGAAAAAAAGCUUGAACUCCACAUUUAAUAUUAUGCAAUUUUGCAUGAAGUCUUUCCAAUAUAGACACCAACUUAGAUCAUUGUCAAUGUGGGCAUGUGCAAGUCCUGAAUCUUUAACGAGCACAACACUAACAUUAGUUACAUCUAGUUACAUUAGCAUGUUGAAUCAAGGAAUUGAUUCCCCCACAUGCACAUUUCACAUUUUAAUCUAUGUUGGUUUCUAAACUAGACAAUUCUCUACGAGGACAAAAGCUAGUCUUAAAGUACCAUAAGUAUUCAAUUAGGAUUCGUACUUUUCUCUAUACAAAUGCAUAUGGCCAAUUUAUUGAGAAAUGCACAUCAUGGGCUUUCCGUAGGUGUAAAAAUCGAGUUAAUGAGACAUCGGAUGGAAAUGUUAUGGUCUUCAAAUUUUUGUUAAAUUCGUGUAAAAAAGACAAGAAUAUGAUUUUUCAAACAAAAAUUCCAAUGUGAUGAAUUGAAAGCAUCGGGUCACAGAUCAUAGAAAAAUGUAAAUACCUCAAUAAUAAAAUGCCACACAUAAAACUUAUGCCCCGAUCAAGUUUUUCAAAAAGAUUUCAAUCUAAUUGAGUUAAUGCAGCGUGUGGUGAAAAACUUAUGUCCAAUCAAAAUUUGAUCAAAAUUGUGUAAAUGGCAUAAUCAUGGCAAUAACAAAAUAGUUAUAACGUGGACGGUGCUCUUGUUAUCGAAAAAAGGGCAAGAACAAGUCCAAAGCAUAAGCAAAUGAAAAUUCACUUGCAUGAUCUUGCCAUGCCUUUUUUUUGGGAUGAUGAUGGAGUUGUUCUAUGUUAGUAGGUUGGCAAUUUUAGGAGGGAGUCAAUUUAAUUUCUAACAUCAAUGCUAGUAGGAAGGUUUCUGGUGCUCUAUACUUUGCCUCACUCAUUGAUUUACUUCUAUGAUUUGUCGUAUACCUGCAUCCACUGAUGUCACCCACAGUUUGCUUGAUUUGUCUUCAUAAUAUAUAUAUUUUGAUUCAUGUAGGGAUACGGAUACUUAUUGAAGAAAGGGCUAGAACAAAUCUAAAGCGUGAGCGGGUGAAGAUUUACUUGCAUGAUAUUGCCAUGACUUUUUUUGCGAUAAUGAUGAAGUUGUUAUGAUGUUGUUAGGUUGGCAAUUUUAGGAGGGAGUCAAUUUGAUUUCUAAUGUCUUUGAUAAUAUGGAGGUUUCAUUGGUCUAUCUUUUGCCUAACUCAUUGAUCUUCAGGUAAUUACCUCUAUGGUUGGUGGUAUACCUACAUCCACUCAUGUCAACCAUGGUUUGCUUGAUUUGCCUUAAAAAAAGGAAAAAAAAGAAAAAGAAACUAGUAUUCCCUAAUUCAUGUAGGAUAUGAGACCAAGGUUCAGGUGGAAAUUCCAAAUGGGACGGUGCUACAAAAUAAGCUAGAAUAUACUCUACUUUCUUCAUUUGCUAGGGCUGCCUGUAUCUCUUUUAAGUGUCAGAUUUCUAGUUGUGGUGAAAAUUUGUGACCAUACUUGAUCUGAUCUUGUAUAGUGAGUUCAUUCAAACUAUCAGAACUUUGUGGCGCUCGUAUAGUGAGUUCAUUCAAACUAACAAAACUUCGUGGCGCUCUUUCUUCCACGCAAGUAUAGUUGAAUGUGUUCAAAUUGCUCCUCAAAAUGCAUUUCGAAUUGCCGAGCAAAAUUCAUCUUAAGGAACAUGUUAUCUUCAACUAAUGGAGAUGAGGGUGAAUGGAAAAAGCAAGAACUCCACAUUUAAUAUUACGCAAUUUUGCAUGGAGUCUUUCCAAUAUAGACACCAACUUAGAUGGUUGUAAAUGGGGGUAUGAAAAAAUCUUGAAUCAUAUUAGUUAAAUCAGCAUGUUGAAUCAAGGAAUUGGUUUCCCACAUGCACAUUUCACAUAUUAAUCUAUGUUCAUUUUUAAACUAGACAAUUUCCUAUAAGGGCAAAAACUAGUCUUAAAUUACUUGAAGUAUUUGAUUCAGAUUCGUAUUUUUCUCUAUACAAAUGCAAAUGGCCAAUUUAUUGAUAAUUCCUGUUAUCUUCGAUUUUAUCGUGUCUUGAAUCGGAAUUAAGUAUGAAAUAGGAUAAAAGGAUUUAUCAUAAUUUUUAUCGUGAGUACCAAACGUAAUCCAAAAUAAUUCAUUGAUAUAUCUAACCAAUAAGUGUAUAUUUUGUAAUCCUCGAUUCCUUAAAACACGGGCGCCAGUCUGAAUCACAUGGAGGAUGGAAGUACUUUCCGCUACCACCUGUUUGAUGUAAAUUUUCUCAUUUGACCAGAAUCAAUCCAGCGACAUUAUUUCAAAAAUAAAAAGAGCGAAAAAGUCCCAAUCGGUGAAUAUAAAUAGACAGAAUGGUACCAAAAAGGUGAUGGGAAAAUUUCAAAGUUCCAUUACGUGGCAGCUGGGCUCUAAGAGAUUGCUAAAUCUUUGUUCCAUGGGGUAUGAACCUCUGACUGGAGCUUGAAGUGGACAUGACUUUUCAAACAAUACCAAGAUAAUGCGCCGCCAGGCAACCAAAUUUUAUUGGCUCUUAAACCUAACACUGCACUAAUCACGCUCUAAAUAAAAUAACUUAUGGACAGAAAAGCCUCGAAACUUUAUAUUAAACCAUCGGCACACGCAAUUUGCUCGUAGAAGUGAUGGAAACGACACUACGCUAUGCCCCUAUUGGACUCGAACAUCAGCCGCAUUAUGUCUAUCCUUUAGCUUUGAAUACGGAGUCUGUGGCUUCUGACGCUUUGGAUUCCAAUCACACAAUUAGUUUAAAACCUAGAGCUCGAACGUGCUCCCGGCAGCUGUUCUCUUGCUGAGAUCACAAAGUGCUCCACUAUCUUAUCGUAACCCUAAAAAUGGUAUGUGACUAAGGUUUAGUGACUGCAACACUCCCUUUCCCUAGUAGCUAUAAAGAAAUCUAAAAUACAUGGAAAGGACAAAAGCAGGGCAAAUGGAGAUGGGCCCAUCUAGGUGCUCUUCUUUCGCAGUGCCUUAAACUGAGUGAGCACACAGAUAAGCAAAAUGCACCAAUUCAGACAGAUGUCAUUUUGAAAGCGACUGUUCCUCAAGGGGGCUUGUAUCCGUCUUGUUAUGUUCUUUUUCUUGUGACGUGGAAAUGCAUAAUAGUUUAUACUUUGUGACGGGCACUGCUUGAAUUUUACCUGUUAUGGUUAGUGUGAGAUUAGACAAAGUGUUGAUGCGGGAUUGCAUUACCUAACAAAAUCUAUUAGUAGGAUUCCACAACCGUCCAAUUUGAAUUGGGGGUUGUUGUCGCCUGGCGAGGGCUCUUGGCCACAAUGAUCAAUUGUUAAAAUAUUUAAAUAUUAUAUUACUUUUUCAUUUAAUAAUUUAGGUUUUUAUAACAGUUGGUAAUGAUUCUACCAAAAUCUUUUAUUUUAUCGGAGUAGAGUUGAAAGUCUGAGUUCAAAUCUUUUUAAGUCUCAUUUACCUUUCCAAUUAUAUAUUUUCAUGCUUAGACUCUGUUCAUUUCACGGAAAAUAUUUUUCGAAUUUUUCGACGUUCAUAUUAAGGAAAAUGAAUUAUUUGAGGAAAAAAUUUUCCUUGAAGGGAAACAAAUAUUCUAAAAUAGGAGAAAAUAUUUUCCAUUAUUGAAAAGUGGAAAAUAUCUUCCUCACUUAAUUUUUCUAAUUUCACAUCCCUAAAAGCCCCCACUUCUUUCUUUUUAUUUUUUUUAAAUCAAAUUAUUUUUAUUUUAUUUUUUUCAUUUUCAUUUUCUUUUCUUUGUUUUCCUCUUCUUCUUUCUUGGUUGGCCACCGGUCUUUUCACUUACUCUCUUUUAUCUUAUAUCCCUACAAGCCCCUACUUCUUUCUCCUUUCCAAAAAUUUGAAUUUUUUUUCUUAUUUUCUUAUUUUCUUUCUUUGUUUUCCUCUUCUUCUUUCUCAACUAGUGGCCGGCCUUCUCACAUGCUCUCUUUUAUGUCACAUCCCUGCAAGCCCUCACUUCUCUAUUUUUUUUAAUUGUUUUCUCUUUUAAAAAUUUUGAAUUAUUUUUUUCUUUUUUUCUUUGUUUUCAUCUUCUUCUUUCUCAAUCGGUUGCUGUCCUCCUCGCAUGCUCUCUCUUAUCUCACAUCCCUACAACCCCUACUUCCUUUUUUUUUAAAAUUUUUUUUCUUUUAAAAAAAUGGAAUUAUUUUUUCUUUUUUCUUUUCAUUUUUAUUUUCAUAUUUUUUUCAUUUUAAAAUUUUUCUUUUCUUUGUUUUCCUCUUCUUCUUUCUCAGCCAGUCGCUGACCUCCUCACAUGCUCUCUCUUAUUUCGUAUCCCUAAGCCCCGACUUCUUUCUUUUUUUAUUUUAAAAUAAUUCAAAUUAUUAAUUUUUCUAUUUUUUCCUCUUCUUAUUUCUUAGCCAAUCAUCGGCCACAAUGACCGUCGGUGACCGUCAACAAGCAAGGCUCGAGGCCAACAAGCUUGGAGCUUGCUAAUUUGGUGAGGCCCAAGACUGGCAAGCUCCAACCUAUGGCUCAUUGAUUUAGUAACCCUCGAGCUUGCGGGCCUUAGGCCUCACUAGAUCGGUGAGCUAGAGGCCCUCCCUCACCGAUUGGGUGAGCCUCGAGCUCAAUGCUUGUACUUACUGAUCUAGCGAGUGACGAGCUUAGGCAAGCCUCAUACUAGUUAGUGAGUAUGAGGCUCACCUAUGGUCGAUCGUUGUGGCUAGCAACCGACUGAAGAAUAAGAGGAAGACAAAGAAAAUAAAAAAAAAGUUGAAAUAAUUCCAUGAUCUAUUUUUAAAAAAUAAAAAAUAAUUAAGAAUAGAUUUUUUAAAAAUUAAAAUAAUGAAAAAUAAAAUUUUAAAAAAAUAAUAAUAAAAUUAUGGAAAAAUGGUGUAUGAAGAAAAAGAUUUUCCUUGUUGAACAGUGGAAAAUAUUUUUCACUUCAUUUUCAAAUUUCACCUGAAUACCGAAAAAUAAUUAUAUCUUCCUAAAAAAUGGCUACUUGGAAAAUAUUUUCAAAAAUGCCAUAAUUUUCACGAGAUGAACAAAGCCUUGGUACUAGUCAAAAGAUUAGACUAAGCGUGAGAGGAAAUGUUAGAAUUUUUAAAUAUUAAACCACGCCUUCAUUUAACAAUUUAAGCUUUUAGAACCGUUGGUAAUAGUCCAAUCAAUUAGUUUGAGAGUUCUUCAUAGUUAGUGAUUUAAUUUUGUUCUCUCAUUUCCUCAAUAAAGAAAAAGCAACAAAAAGAUUUAAUAAAAAUGGAUGAAAAAAAAGUAGAACACAUCUCAACCAUCCAAUGUGAGCGAACGUAGCUAAUAUGAUAUGCUUAUUACAUAGUUAAGUCACAAGUAGCAUGCAAGUAAAAUUUGCCCUUUCCCUUUGUCGAAAAUAUAUCUAGACAUAUAAUAUUAAAAUAUCGAGAAUGUAGAUUUUAUUAUUUCGAAUAGUCAGUGUAUCGAAAAAAUAGAAGAGGUGUUUCGAAAUCGGAGAUCAAUGUAAUGAAAUCAUUUAGUAUGCGGUAUCUCAUUGGCUUAAGUAGGUCUUGACUUCUUUUUCUAUAUAAGAGAAGAUAAAACUAUGUACUCCAUUAGAACCAAAACCGGCCACAUACAUGACCCCUUAUCAUAACUAAGGUCAAAGGCAUAAGCGCAAAUCCUUAUUGGAUUGGUUUACAUAUUAAGUAGGUAGAGAAUCAUCACUUGCUAGGGUUAUUUUAUUUGGAAUGACAGACGCAGUGUAAUGUAUCAAUGCUAAGACUCCGUAUGUUUCGCGAAAAAAAAAGAUUUGGAAAAAAAUUCCAAAAAAAAAAAGAUCUCUUAUAUUGCUUCACAUAAUUAGCCAAUGAAAAAUAUUUUCACAUCAAUAGGAAUUUUAUUUAAACAUUUUCAAGUUUCAUUUUUGUGUAAACAAUACAAAUUAUUAUAUUUAUGAAAAUAUUUUCUCUUGGCCACAAACUAGAGGAGCGUUUCCAACAGUUGUUUGUAUGGGAUGAGAUUGAUCCGCCGAAAGAAUGCUAAACAGAAUUUGUCCGUGCGAUAUGCAUCCCUUUCAAUGUUUAAGUUCUGUAUCUAGUGAAUUCAAAGCAAAGCAAUUGGCUAAUAGCGGGUUUUUCACCGACCAAAUAUUUUCCUUACCUCUAUUUGCCUAGUUCCAUCAUUCCAUAUACUUGUUAUAACUUGAUGUGAUGGCUAUCACCUCUUAAAAUAUGAAAAACUCUAAAUUUGAUAUUCAAAAGACGUCGCACGUCAGGACUGCACCAUAGCCUAUUUCAUCAUUUCCGUCACCAAUUUUUUUUCUCUUUGGGUCAACCGAAUGAUCAAGCAAGAUCAGUGUUAUUGAAUACCAGCCACUUAUAUUUAAAACUCAUUCUGUCCCAUCUACAACUCAUCGUCUACCGGGCAAAACCGUAAGUAAGUAAUGCCUACUCUACGUUACCUCCAACCUCGCUCCAGCGUUUUCGAGAGCCGUCAUCUUGCACGCAUCUGCACUUAUCAUUAUCAUAAUCCAACUGUAAACACGUUUUCAUAAUAUAAUGAAAAGGCUCCAAAUUCGAUACGGCAAAGCACAUUGCGUAAUGUUGAUGUACCCGUGCCGCGCACCAUCAAGUGGCUUCAAUUUUCUAAGAGAUGCAUUUCAUUUUAACGUCACUCGGUAAUUAAUAAAAAUAGACUUAAUGAUUGGCGGCACAAUCAUAUGAGAUCACUAGAUUAAACAUUAAUGUUUUUUCCUAAUGCACUUCUCUUACAAGGGGUGUGCAUCGAUCCUGAUUUAACCCGAGAACCAGACCGGAUCGGACUAACAAACAGCUAAGAUUUCUUAAUCUUUUUCUUUUUUAUGUUUUGUUUUGAAGUAAACGUAAUUAGUAAGUUAUUUAUUUUUAAUGUUGGGAAACUCCCACUAGGGUGAGUUUGGUUCCAGGGUAGAACCUAUAACCUGAGAACCAGACUUGUGGGAACUUGUAGGCUCCAGAUUCCAAGGUAUAUAGGGUAAGUUCUUCUAAAGAAUGAGGAACUGUUUCAACAGGUACGUUACAUGUUAUUAGUUGGAAGAAUUUGGAACUUGGAUACUAUAACCUAUAACCUAAAAUCUAAAAAGUUUUAAUAUUUUUCUUAAUCCAUAUCUUCGUGUGAUCAUCCAAUAUUCCAUAUCAUUCAAUAAGCACUAGUCCGAGUUUCCAUUUUAUGGCAAACAUUUUUACUUUAUUAACGUUCAUAUUUUUCAUGUAUUUAAAUAUAAGUUAUGAUUAGUGAAUUAUAAUCGUUCAAAUAAUAAUAUAAGUGGAACUUAGCUAGAUCCUGAAUCCGACAUUGGAGCUUGUGAUGAGAUAGGUUCCAAGUUUUAGGGUAUCGAAGGUAAAUUCUAGAUUAAAAAAAAAUGAGGAACUUCUUCUAAUAAAUAGAUUCCGAGUUUUAGGUGGAACUUGUACAAAAUUUAGAGCUGCUCACCCUUACUUUUAUUUAGUUGAAUUCCUUGCCAAGAGUUCAUUUUCCUCUAUCGAUAGUUUUGUUCAUUUUGUGUUCUUUUUUAUGAAUGACUAGCUUAUUUAUUAUUGUUACAUUCAAUUUGAUUUUGUUUAACUAAAAAUAAAAAUAAAAAAGAAUAUAUUGCAAGUUAUGACGAGUUAUAAGAUAGGUUUUAGGUUCCAAGUUUAAUGAGUAGAUUUUAGGAUUUAAAAAAUAAGAAACCUGUACCCAAAAUAAAUUUCAGGUAAAACUUGUAAAAAAAUCUAGAAUUGCUCAUCCCUAACUUUCACCCAAAAAAAAAUAAAAAAUAAAUAAAUAUCAGUUUCACAACAAGUCGGUCUAAUUUCUAGCCCUGCAAAUUGGAAACCCGCCUUGCUUGGUUUAUUCAAAAUUCUGAGUAAAAAUCGAGCCAUCUUAAAAUCAAUUAUCCCUGAUCUCUUACAUUAAAUUGCCCCUGUACACGUUGGCGUUAUAUUGUAAAAUACCAGAUAAAUAAUUCUCAUGCUUACGUCAGCAAUGGAUGGGAUGACUCUUCUUCUACGUGCAUAUAUAUAACCAACAACUAGGAUUCGCUCCAGUGGAAGGGUGGCCACUGGAGCGAAUCCCCACAUUCUCAGAGGAAUGGGUUGGGAACGUGUAAGUUUCAAGGGUUCAAAUCCCCAUAUUUUCAGGGGAUGGGGUGGAGACGCGUAAGUUUUAGGAGUGGGUUUCGACUCUCACGCUCUGCAAAAAACAUGUCAAAAAUCUGAGAAUGAGCGUAGAGUGGAAUAGAAUAAGACUGACUGAAAAUAUAUAUAUAUAUAUAUAACCGCUACCUCCACGUCCCCAACAGUUUCCAGGCUCGCUGCGUCCCGAGCUGGCUUCUCGAGAUUUUCCCCCGCGUCGUUUUCACUCUCAUUUUCCCGAGAAAGCUCCUCCUCCUCCACUAAAUCCCAAAGCCUUUGCACGGGAAGGAGAACGACCGAGCAGAGAGAUUGCAUGAUAAGGGGCUGCUGCCCACGCAUGGCCAUCGUCUCGUGAAGAUUUGACGUCACUUGCCUCCCCGCUUUUCCCCGUGAUUCUCGCUCUCUCUCUCUCUCUAUCUCUUUCGAGAAAAUUACGUAUGCAGACGUGUCGGCAAAGGUGAAGAUAGCAUUCCGCAACUUUCUCUGUGCGCCACAUUCGAUCUUUUUUUUCUCAAUCUCAUCGAAAUCUUUGAAGAGGAAACGUCACGUCACGUCUCGUCUGGCCCUUUGCCAACUCGCGCGCGAUGUCCCUUAUCUAUCCACAACAUCGAGUCUCCAUUUCCGCCAUGGAAUCCUCCUCAUGUCCUCAAUGCUCUUUCUGUGUUCUCGCCUUCUUCGUUGCAGAUAGGAGCGGCGAUCGGGGUGCAGGAUCGGAAUCGUCGCGGCGGAUGCGAUUCGUUCCUCCUCUCGAUCCCAAGGGACCGAGCCGGCGUCCGGAUUCCGCGCGGUUGAGAUCGGAGAGGAAAUACGCGGGGCGAGAGAGGAGAUGGCGCGCGGCAGAGUGGAGCACAGCGAGAGAGGAAGAGGAUCGGAGGAGGAGGAGGAGGAGGAGGAGGACGAGCGGGAGUACGAGGUCGGGGAGGUGAGGGAUCGGAUUAAGUCGUCGAGAGGUAGCCAGUUCGACCUCCUGACCCACGAGCUAGGGCUCGGCGCCGCCGCUCGCCGGAAGUUCAGCCGCGAGACCGUCCUCAGCGGCAUCAGGGACCUCUCCAGAGGCCUCGUCAUCCACCCCGACAACAGGUCACGAUCUCUCUCUCUCUCUCUCUCUCUUCUCUGCGUUCUUCAUCAUGGAGGUCCGCGCAUGGCGACGCUUUGCUUGAUAUUUUUUGAGAUCGGAGGGGUGAUGAAACGGAUGGUCGAUGAUUUGUCUCGCGUUAUCUCUCUCCUGUUCAAAAUUCAGGAAGCGCCGAUUCGAUCUUGAUUUUGACGUGGCAUGGAUAGAGGCGGGAUUGAUUUUGAUUGAUUGGAAAUUAAGAAUUGAUUUCGUCCUUGUGGUUAAACAACUGGACGCGAGCCCGUCGUCCGCCGUACACGUGGCGGGUGCUUACUGGAGCUGUCUAUGGACAGUUACUGUAGGCCUCGAGUGCGUCAUGCCAUGCUCGCCUCACACUUGGCUCCGGCUCCAAUCCAAUCGGACGGCCAACAGUUGGCCAAUCCCCAACUCUGUUCCGUUCCCCUCAAAAAAUUUGAGUGGGGAUGCCAAGCUUCCUCGCCGACGUCGUUGGUUAAUUGCAAACCCGCUAUGAUAGUCAACUUCGUAAACAAAAGAAACUACUCCUCCUCUGUCCCACUCUAGCCCUUAAUUCAAUCUCAGAUUUUUAUUUCGCCUCUUUACCAAAUGUGGACGAACUCCAUGACUGAAAACGUCUCCAUCUAGUCCUUCACCUCCCCCUUCUCUGACCCUAGUGACGAAAGAACAUUUAUAAGUCAUAUUUUCGAAAAAAAUCCCCACUUUCUCAGAGGGAUGGGAUAGGGACGCGUAAGUUUGAGAGUGGGUUACGACUCCCACGCCCUAUAAGAGGCAGGAGUCAACUUCCCAAACAGAAACAAAAAAAAUACUUUUUUAUCUGUCUUAAUCUAGUCCUUAAUUAACCACUGGGGCGAAGCCCCAGUGGUUAUUAAUUGUGAACGGAUUUCAUAAAUGAAAUUAAAUGUCUCCAUCCAGUCCUCUACCUCCCCUUCGUCAGUGACUAAUGAAUAUUUAUAAGUUGUAUUCAUUACGUUUUGAAAAAUAUAAAUUUGCUCGAAACUGCUCCAAUAUAAAUAUGUGAUCCAGUCCUCGUUGGUAAAACUAGUAUCAGUGUAACCGACGUUUAUUGCUGAUCUGAUAACUUUGGAUAUAUUUCUGACGUUGGUGUCUGUGAAUAUCCCAUUUUCGAAGCAGAUGAUUAGGCAGACGCGGGAUUUUCUUUUUUUAAAUGAUAAGUUGUCAGGGCAGGGGAUGAUCACAUCACAUAGUCUUGCUGAUUGGUGACCUGCCCACUUGGUACGGCGAUUCUUUGCUUGGCUGUCCUUGUUUCCGUGAAGUCACCAUGUUCUUGCUUGACGACAACUGCAUCCUCGACCGUUCGAUUUCGCAGUUCUCCUUUGUAUCUUUCUCUCCCUUUACUGAUCAAGAAAGGGACGGUUUUUCCGGAAGUGGUUCGAAACUUCUCGUCCCCAUUACACGAUUCACCUGCGGCCCGUGAGAGGUAGGUCUCUGCAAGUCGCCAUUUAUGUCGCCGACUACCGGCUGUAGGGCGGUUCUCAAUCACUCAAAAAAAAAAAGGGACGGUUUUUCAUAAUUUCACAUUGGUUUGCCCAUGCUUUCACAUGUGAUUUUCUAUCAGAACAUCAAGGGCCCCUGAAAUGACGUCCUAAAAGAUUCCAAAUCUAUUUUGGAUGGACUUUCUAUAUUUUAUUUAGUUUAAAUUUUGCAGCUCACGCAUUUAUACUUUGAUAAAUUUAUACUUUGAUAACAUGUAGAUUCAUAAACAAUUUUUUCAUUAUUUUCUGAAAAUUGAAUGAUAUAUUAAAUUCUGACAAAAGGCCAAAAAGCCAAAGAGUACUUUUUAUCCUUGUUUAAGUCCAAAUUAACUGGCCUAAGAAGCCAAAGACAAGGGAAUCACUCAUGAGCUACAAAAUAUUUAUUUACAAGAUGUGAUGACAUCACUGCAUUGUUAGCGGCGAUAUUCUCUAUAUAGAGUUGUUCCUACAACAUUGGUUGUAUGCCAAAGGGGUUGCCUAGCUAUUCUAAAUAAUUAAUGGAACUCUUUGCCACUAAAUUUUGAUAAUUUUUUAUAUGUUUUCGAUCAACUUCUUCAGUUAAAGUGGGUUAAAGUGGGUAUGUUACUGGUGGACCGAAAGUUGAUAUUAGGAGAAGCAGGUUUUAGAGAAAUUGACUCAAAAUCUGCUUUGUAAGAUCGAUUCUAUUUACCUGUAUUCAUAGAUUGGAAUUACAAAAUAGGACAUGAAUUUUAAGGUUUAUCUUAUUCUUAAAGGAGCCAUUAAUUUUUAAGUUACUUCUAAAUGUAAAACCAUUGUGAACAACAAGACUUGAUUAAACAUUUUAACAUCUACUGUGAAAUGUUAAAUAGUUAGACAUUUAUCACUUAUUUAAAGAUUUAAUAGGCUUUGAUUUAAUAAUACAAUUCAGAUAUAAGACUUUCAAAGCAUAAAAUCAAUAUGAUUUGUUCAAUUUCUAUACUCGCCAAGAAAACAUUCACGCAAGAUUUAUCAACACAUGAUUCUUAAACUUUUGGUGAAAACAGAAAACUAUUUUGGCAAGGGUAAAGUCCAUGAUGGAGUAAAUGGAGCACUGCUGAUAUGGCAAUAAGCAUGACAUGUGGUUAUGUUACAGUUUAACUGUCGUAAAAAUGUUACUCUGCUUUUGCCCUUUCGUAUCCUCUAAAACUGUAUAAUAAGAGGCGCUUUAUCACUUCUAUAGACACUUCCUCCUCCAUUUGUAUUCUCUUCUUUCUUUAAAAUCGGUUUCUCCUCCUUGUCAUUUAUUAGUAUACUGUGAAAGAUUUUGUGGCUUCAAGUUUUUUUUCCUCUAGAUUAUCCAGAAAGAAUGUAACAUUUUGGAAUUGCGAAAAUAUUUCGCAUCAUCGCGAGUGGGUAUUAAUGGGCCGUGCUUUGGUCGGAUUAGAGAGCUGAAAUAAAAUGUAUGAGAUUAUCAAUACAACGCUUGCAAUUUGGACACUUUGGUUGUCUACCAUCGAGUUUUCAAGUCAAUGACAAAUAGAAGCUCAAACGAUUACAAGCUUGUAGGUUCUAAAUAGAGCAACACUUGUACCUUAAUGCCCUUUUUGCAUUUUAUUGAUCUCAUCAAUAGUCCCCAAGUUUACCGGAUGGUCAGCGCAGUGUUGGGUUUAGUAGCAAUGCUAGAGAAAAAAGAAUAAUCAUAUCCUUACGGCAAUUAGUAGAAAUAAGCUAUAUCAGCCCCUCUGGUUGGGUUAUCUACGUGUAUUUGCCUUAAAUCAUGUUGGUAUAUUAACAGGAACGUAGCUUGUUCUUUUGGCAACAGAGAGACGGUUUUUUUUUUUUGGGUGCAUUUUUAUCCUUUUCUGAUAAUCGUUUUCCAGACAAUGAGAAUUUCUUAAGCUUUUGAACUUUUACUUUUAUUAGUCACCGCAUCGAGUCUUUCAUAAAAAAAAAAUCUUUCCUAUUUUGAAAUGACUCUAAAAGGGUUUUUCAAUAAAUGAAAAAGAAUCCGAAUGAAACAACCUGUUCUUCUUGAAUACGCUGAUUCAGCGCUAAAGAAUUUCCCGCCGCUAUCAUAUAGUAUUCAUGAACUUUUACUUUUAUUAGUCAAGCAUCCGUACAUGUGGACACAAGUGAUCAAUCAGCUUUCUUCUGUGCAUGAAUGAGGCCUUCCAAUUUCCUAGCUAUGUAUUUAUGCAUUGAAGUUAAAUUGCGAGACACAAUGCAGGUAUUAUCGGGCUUGGAAAAAAUUCAUACUUCUGUGGGCUCUCUACUCAUCCUUCUUCACGCCAUUGGAGUUUGGCUUCUUCAGGGGAUUGCCAGAGAAUCUCUUUAUAUUAGACAUUAUUGGACAGGUUGCUUUUCUAUUUGACAUUGUUUUGCAGUUCUUGCUUGCUUACAGAGACACACAGACCUAUCGAAUGGUCUACAAGCGCACUCCUAUUGCUCUACGGUCAGUUCUCUAUCUGUUGUCUACUUUUUUACACGCACUAGGAUGAUUGCCUUGUGAUAAUUAGGUACAAUUUGCGAGUAGACUUCCUUACAACUUAUAGAGCUACGUAAUUUAUCUACACACAACAUUACUGGUUAAGUUCAAUCUUAAGAUAUAAGCAAUCAAAAGGAGAUGACUUAAGACCAUAAGAAUUCCAAUACCUGCAAGCACUUGCAGAACUGAAAAUAAAAUGAAUAGAGCUUAAUUUAAUCACAAGGGAAAAUUUUCAGCUUUAUUGUAAUUAAAAAAUUAUUAUUACUAGUUCAAAGCUUAUUGAAGGUUGGGCAAUUUUUGUUGGGUAAGCAUAAGAUUUCGUCAUCUAAUAGGUGUAAAUAAAUCACGCUUCUUUCCUUUGGCUUUCUUGUAGGUACUUGAAAUCUAGUUUCAUUGUGGACUUUCUAGGUUGCUUGCCUUGGGAUAUCAUAUAUAAGGUAAUCCCUCGCUUUGAAGUUAUCUUCAGCCAUUCAGGGCGAUACUAUACCCAAAGUAUUUUCUUCUAUGGGUGGCAUCUUCUAUGCAUGAAUAAUAUGGUUGGGAGUGGGAUUUUCAGCUUGACUUCAUAAGCUGCAGCAUAUUGUCACGGGGCACCAAACAGUUGAAUUUCUCCUUUGACCAUUAGAAUGCACUUUAUCACUUUUCAACUUUAAAGAAAACUGUAACUGUCUUGUUAUUAGAUGAUCUCCUUUUAUGGUACUACGAGUGCUCUAACUAAAGAUACUACUAAGAGAUGCAGUGUCAUACAUCCAUAAGGGGAUUCACGUCUGACCAUGCAACAUUGCUGUUGACUGACUCUGGUUGUUAGUUCCAUAUUCUCAGGUUUACGAAUUCGUGCUGGUGAAAUUAGUUCGGAGAAUUUCUCAGUAUAAAAUAGGAAAUUAUCAGACUUCUCAUUUUCUUUUCACCUGGAGAAAGAUAAGCGGCAACAAUGAUUUCUCACCAGAAAAAAUGAUUCAUUCAUUCUCUAUGUAGAGCUUUAUCUGAUCAAGUUGCAAGAUUUGUUUCUGACAGGUUGGUGGAAAGAAAGAAGAAAUCAGAUACCUUCUAUGGAUUAGGUUGAGCCGAGUGCGCAAAGUCACAGAAUUUUUCCAACAUAUGGAGAAGGACAUACGGAUUAACUACAUGUUUACAAGGAUCGUGAAACUUAUUGUUGUGGAACUUUACUGCACACACACGGCUGCCUGCUUUUUUUACUAUCUAGCAACUACACUGCCUUCUUCUGAAGAGGGUUACACUUGGAUUGGAAGCUUGAAGUUGGGUGAUUACAGUUAUUCAAACUUCAGAGAGAUUGAUUUAUGGAAGCGGUACUUAACAUCCUUAUAUUUUGCCAUUGUUACCAUGGCCACAGUUGGUAAGUCGUGCUUCUAACUUCAGUUCUUUGUGCAAGGUCUAAGUCAAGACUCUUGAUGCGCUUGUUAUUUUUGAAUGUCUUCCUUUUACGCUUAGUGGCUUAUGCAGCUCUAAGAGAAUGAUGAAAUGGCCAGAGUCGCCUGAAAUAAGUAAAAUGGGCUGCUGCCAGUAAAUUUAUCGUGGGGAAUUUAUUCCCUACGACAGUUUUUUUAGGUUUAAUCGAUACUAUAGUUAACAGCUCUGACUUAUUUAGUCUGAUCACACAUGUGAAGAAUGAGUCUGCAUGAUAAAAACGAUAGCAUUUGUGUAUUCCAUGCGGGUAAGGGAAUGCAGAAUAAUAUGAUGCUUCGUCCUUUUUUUACAAGAAUAUUGACUCAAAGGGCAAUAUUAUUAGGUUCUUUCCUUGAGAUAAAAAUAUGAUAGAUAUGGAAGCACAAUGUUAAUAACUAUAGCUUAAUGGGUAAUGAUAGCGAAAGCUAAUUCGCUAAGUGGUCAAUCUUUUUGUCAACAAUAGAAAAUCAAGUAGUAGUUUGUUGAGGAGUUUUGCUCCGGAGGUACCUUUGCUUGCGGAAGGAUUAGCGUCACACAAUUGUAACACUGUAAGUGAGAUGAAGUGAAGAGGGCACUAGAGGAGGAGCGAACAAUUCUAGUAGACUCGAAUGCAGGAAGCAGGUGAGGAAUGCCAAGUUAGUUAGAAUCAAUGGAAGUCAAGAGAAGUCGACAGAAAUUUGUUGUGGGAACUUCUUAACAGUUCGACACCGAAGUCCCUAAGUUCGGAAAUACCGAAAUGGAGGAGUCCAACAGUCUAGAAGAAAUAAAGAGCCAGCGGCCAAAACUCCAAUAGUCAGUUUCAUUCUAUAUCUACAUGUGUCAAAACUCUACCAAUUGACAGCGGCCGAAGAUGGUUAGCGGACAGGAUCGUGCCAUGUGGUAAUUUGGGUGUAGGGAAUCGGCAGUAAACAUGUUGCUGCGUGUCAGGGAGAAAUGGUUAAAUUCAGUUUCAUUGUAUAUCUACAUGGAUCAAAACCCUACCGAUUGACGGCGGCCGACACCCAGUCAAUUAGAUUAGGGUUAGGGAAUAGGUCAAGUCAUCUUUAACGAGCAUCACUCCUUACUCACCAAGUCAAAACUUUAUAAAACUUCUCAACUGGACGGGAAUGAUCCAGGAUUCCGCCACCAAUAUUAAGUCAUAACGAGCCAUGCUAACGCGAAGUAAACCUGUAAAAAAUGCCUGAAAAUGGCAUUUGUUAGUAAAUUCAGGAAAUUAUAUUAAAUGAAUAAUAAUUUAUUUUACAAUAAAAACAAAGGACCUAUUUACGCAUCUAUACAGCUGAGCUUUAAAACAGUGUAAAAGUUAUGAAAAGCUCUAGGAAUCAUUAGCCCAUUAUUUCUUCAAAAUUAUAUCUUCUCCGAAAUGCUGCUUUUGGGGAAAAAUCCAUCAUCAUUGGGCAAUCCAUUGUAGAAGGAAAUUGAUCAAUUAUACACAUUGUUUCAUCCCAUUGGCUCGGUGUCCAUCUUUUCUUUAUUUUUUUCUGGCAAGCCUUUGCUUGAAUAGCUAUUUGAUCGUUCUUUUAUUUGCAUUAUCAUUAAAAUUCUUUAAUUAGCCUAAAAUUAUUGAUAUUCGGAUAUCAGCUGUGGAUGUGAUCCUCAACAGGGGAUCUGAAUUUGGCAUGGCAUUACUGUUUUUGCAUUCAUCCACUAAGAUCCUUGAUUUCUUACAUGUUUCACAAGGUAGCUGAUGAGUGUACUUUUCCUGCAACAGGCUAUGGAGACAUACAUGCUGUCAAUUUGAGGGAAAUGAUAUUUGUAAUGGCUUAUGUGUCAGUUGAUAUGAUUAUUGGUGCCUACCUGAUUGGUAACAUGACAGCUUUGAUUGUGAAAGGAUCAAAAACUGAGAAAUUCAGGGAUAAAAUGACAGAUCUCAUAAAGUACAUGAACCGGAACAAACUUGGAAGGGAUAUUCGUAAUCAGAUCAAAGGCCAUGUACGUUUGCAGUAUGAGAGUAGCUACACUGAAGCUGCUGUUAUUCAGGAUAUCCCAAUCUCCAUCCGUGCAAAGGUAAUAUGCAGCUAGUGAUUAUUACCUGUCAGAGCAUCCUUAAUUUCUCUGUAUCUAAAAUCUUUGCAGUUUCAGUUGCAACAUGCUGACAUGCUUUUUUAUUUAGUUCCUACGAGUACUUGGGAGCUGUCAUUUACUUUAAUGGCCUUUUAUCAGGGAAAUAUGGAGUAUUGUAUGCUUCACUAAUCAAAAGCAUUUCUGACUCCAUCAUGGUGAUAUUAGCAUGCUGAUUAUCUUCUCCUAUGUACAAUAUACAGUAUGCCGAAUUGUUUAAAAAAUUUAGGAUUAGCUCACGAUUUGAUAUUUACACAACAAUAGGGAGUUCAGCAUUACCGAAGAAAGAUGUUUUUCUCAUGCUAUGGUUACCAGGUAUCUUGAAGAGCUAUUUUCUCAUUCCCUGCAGAUCUCUCAGACAUUGUAUAUGCCAUGCAUAGAGAAGGUCGCUCUUUUCAAUGGAUGCUCAUCUGACUUCAUUAACCAAGUUGUGAGUUCCAUUUUGAUUAUAUGCUGCACAUGUUUGAUUGACAGAAGGUGGAUAAAACAGAAUCGCUCCAAAUCAUUAUAGUGGGUAUAAUUUUGUCUACAGCCUUUGAUAUGAUAAACAACAAGAAAUUUAAUUCACAAUUCUUUGCCUUCCCUUUAGACCUAAUUAUAUUAAUAGAUAGUUAAGCAGCAUAAACAGAUGAGUAACAUAAUAUCUAGUUGCACGGACAUAUAGUGUUCAAAGAGAUGCUAAUGACUAGAGGAUUUUGAAUCCUCUUGGCGUUCAGCAUUUCCAUGACUAUUGGAGUUUGGGCACCGAAAGGACUUGGUAUUGUUGUGGGAGGAUUCAAUAUCAAUUGCAAGCUAGAAGGGUGGCAGAAUAAAAAGAUCAUGGCACUGAAUAUCGCUGUUGGGAAAUGGUCAAAGUGAGAACUCAUAGUAUUUUAAAGACGACUUUCAGCUGAGUAAAUGUGAAGUCAUUAUUAUGUCUCUUUCGUAGGUAACUAAGCUCCAUGAAGAAUUUUUUCUCCCAGGAGAAGUGAUAAUGGAGCAAGGAAACGUGGUGGAUCAGCUUUACUUUGUUUGUCAUGGUCACUUGGUAUGGUUUUGUAACCUCUGGCUUCUUUAACAUUUAUCAUAUCUCUCUUUCUGAGCAAUAAUUCUCUUUCUUCCACUAUUAAAGGUCUUUGUUACAUCUCUUCAUCUAGUAACUUUUACUUUGAUUGUCCAAACUUUUUCAUUCCCUUGCGCUCUUGGGUUGCUGUAUUGUUGGUCCUGACAAAAUCAAAUAUCUGGGCCUUUAAGUUUUGCAUUUUUCACAUUCAAUGCACUAAUGAUUUUUCUUUGUUUGCAUCCAACGAGAAGACAUCUCCAGAUUACAGUAAUAAUUAACAAUAGCUUACAUGGUUCACUAUGACCUUGCCAUUACUUAAAUUGUUUUUAGUCCCCGUGAUGAUAUCUCAUUUACCAUAAACAUCCACGUUCUUGUUCAGUUGGCUGGAUGGGAACAUUAUGAUAAUAGCUACAGCUUAUGGUUUGGUAAGAACUUCUACAGGAGGAGGUUGGCAUAGGAGAGGAUGGGUCUGAAGAAACCAUUUCACUUUUACAGCCUAACAGCUCAUUUGGACAAGUCUCCAUUCUUUGCAACAUUCCUCAGCCUUAUACAGUCCGAGUCUGUGAACUGUGUCGGCUUCUGCGGAUUGAUAAACAGUCUCUGUCAAAUAUCCUCGAGAUUUAUUUCCAUGACGGGAGAAAGAUUUUAAACAACCUUUUAGAGGUAAUGUAAUUGUGUUUGAAAGAACAAAAUGUGUUUGCUCCUGUUGCUCUUCGUGUGUAAUCCAUUUUUGAAAUAUCACAUUAGUAGAAGAUUCUCAGAGUCUUCAGAUGCUCUGUGAUUCGCAUUACAACAGUCAUAUAGGAAUUUUUCGCUGCAUAUGCUUGCAGUUAAGGGAAUCUAAUCUCCGACUCAAGCAAUUGGAGUCGGACAUCUCAUUUCAUAUUGGAAAGCAAGAAGCAGAACUUGCUUUGAGGGUAAAUAGUGCAGCCUUUCAUGGGGACCUCCAUCAGCUAAAAAGUUUAGUCAGAGCGGGGGCGGAUCUCAACAAGACAGAUUAUGAUGGAAGGUCACCCCUGGUAUGAAUUGAGCUUUUGAAUUACUUCUUUUUUAUUUUUAUUUUUUUAGGUACAUCUCCUUAUCAAGUGAUGGGAACCAAAUCACAAAGAGGAUAUUCUUUUAAUCCGCUUGCAUUAUCAGUGUGGUCUUGUGAAGGUGCUCCUGAUGUUUCGAUGCAAGUGUCUUUAGGGUUAAGGAAAGGAGGAUUGUGGUGAAAUUAGUAGGAAUAAGUCAUUAUCAACUAUUAUGUCAAAUUGUGUGCAGAAAUUGACAUUUGAACAUCCACUGCAUUUUUUCCCACUUGUCAAUUUGUUAGAUUUGGCAAUCUUCACCUUCACACUUACCACAAUACCUUAGUAACAAGGUUCAAGGUUUUUAUAUAGAUAUCUAAUGCCAUCUUCAAGGUAGCCAGGAAACCUCUUAUAUAACAAUUUUAAGUUGUGAAGGCCACCUUUCAAUGUGGAGGCAUUGUGUUUCCUAAUUCACAGUUAUUUGGAACUUUGAAAUGCAUCUUUCUGUUUUCAGCAUCUUGCAGCAGCAAGAGGCUACGAGGAUAUUGUGUUUUUUCUUGUUCAAGAGGGAGUAGAUGUCAACACGAAAGGUUUGUUUCCUCAUUAAUGUGAACUGGCUCUUCUCUCCUCCUUCAACUGUAUUUUGUACCUUUUUCACACCAACAUUGCAAAGCUGAUUUCAUUGUAGAUAAUUUUGGGAACACGGCCCUUCUAGAAGCUAUCA
rnacentral:lncRNA from 1 species